ensembl:lncRNA
CAUGAUCAUUGCUUCAGCCACACCAUCUCCCACACAUUCACCUACAUCAUCUUCCUCUUCACCUUCCUCCUCCCCCUAGCUCUCUGGCUGAAACAAGCAUCCUGACUGAAUGUCUCACUUCUGUUCAAAUGUCUAUUUAUCCGUUUAACCCAUAUAAAAAGGAAACUUCUGAAGAAAUUAUAUUUUUUUAAAGAAUCAAAAAUGAAAUCAGGAAUAACUAUUUAAUGAAGAUAUACAGGAUAAACAAUGUUAUUUAUCAUCAUUGUUUUGAUUACAGAGAUAACGAUUGCUAGGUCUCCAUUUUCAUCAUUAGUAGUAUUAAUAUCAAGUUCAUUGUCAGGUUUUGCUUAAAGCAUCACUUGUUUAAUUUUCAUUGCAUCAAGUUGACAUCAUUCAUGUUAAUAUAAGCAUGCACACAUGUUUCUCCAUGUCCAUUCAGAACUGCACUAACACUGAGAGAGACAGAGGAGAGAGGAGUCCUACACACAGAGAGAGCGGACAAGAUGGAGGGAGGCGGAGAGAGGGGGUGAAUGGCUGUGUGGAGAGAGAGGGAAGUGGGGAAAAGGGAGUUUUCAGAAAUAGAGUGGGAGAACAAGCAAUCAAAGAGAGCAAGAGACAGGUAUAGAAAGAGAUAAAGGGAAAAGAUAAAGGUAUAUUGAGAGAGAGAGAGGCAGAGAGAGAGAGAGAGGCAGAGAGAGAGAGAGAGAGGCAGAGCAGGCAUGCAGAGGCAUAGAAAGAGAUAAAGGGGCAAGAGAAAGGUAUAUUUAGAGAGAGAGAGAGAGAGAGAGAGAGGCAGAGAGAGAGAGAGCGGCAGGCAGGCAUAGAAAGAGAUAUAUAUUUAGAGAGAGAGAGAGAGAGAGAGAGAGAGAGGUAUAGAAAGAGAUAAAGGGGCAAGAGAAAGAGAGAGAGAGAGAGAGAGAGAGAGAGAGCGGCAGGCAGGCAUAGAAAGAGAUAAAGGGGCGAGAGGAAGGUAUAUUUAGAGAGAGAGAGAGAGCGAGAGAGAGCGAGGGUAAUACUGAGAGCACACUAGCAACCUCCAGUGCUGAGUGAGUGCUAACACCACAGUGUUAUGGGGCAGAGGAUCAUGUGGACUGUGAGGGAUAGAGACAGAGCCUGGAGAUAGGCCAAUGGAUCAAUACUAUAGUAUCUACUUAUACAGGCAGAUCAAUGACCUCCCAGAACAACCUGAGCAGACAUACAGUUCCAGAUGGAAAACUUCUGGCUAUGAUAUGGGAUAUACAGCUUUAAUCUGUGUACAUACCAAGCAUACCAGAAAGCAUCCCUGCACUUCCUUGGCCUGAAGUUGGAAUAGUAACUGGAUCCCCCUGAAUGCGUUUAAGGGGAAAUGGCAGCCAUAGCAUUAGUAGUGCUAACUGUUAGUUGAGGUUAUAGUAGCAGAAGUGGUGGUAGACAUGGUUCUCCCAUGGCAGUAGCCACAUGGUGCUUAAAGAGGAAGUGCAGAGCGUAAACAGGGGGUCAUUGUAUUUCACAAAGAUAAAGGACAUGGCUACCCCCUCUCUGUCUCCCCGUUUGGAGGGACUGCUAGGGGACAUAAAAGAGUCAUUACUCAGCCCAAAAUUCUACCUCAAGUAAUCAAAACGUAUCUAACAUCACGGUGCCAACUGGUUUCCCCUCAGACACACAGUACACAUUUACUAAAAGUAGUACACAACCAACACAGUUACUUAGAUCAGGCAGGGGGGGCACUUUUGAGUGACUGACAGCUGAUCUGGGAAACAACACACACAAUACACUCUAAUCUCUGUGAGAGACCGACUGUUCAUCAGGGAUCAUAAGUAUCCCACUCCCCACCAAGUGCAAUGGGUCCUACAACAAAUGGUUCCUCUAAGACACACAGGACAGAAGACACAUUUUGUUUAAAGACAGGAGUUUCAGUCUGUGGAUGCUAGGAAUGGUGUGGGGCCGCGAGGACAGGUAGAAGAUAGGGAUCUCAUGAGCACAGAAACAUGUCACACAGAAGGUCACAGUGACACACACAAACACACAGGCAUACACACACAGACGCACACAAAUACAAAACACACACACAAACACAGAAAUACACACAAAUCAAAGCAACACAAAUGUGUGUGUCCUUCUAACGUUGUCGUCCAGUCGGAGACAUGAUGGACUGCAGACAAUUUUAUCUUUUCAAAUUAAAUAAUGUCUUUCCGAAAAACAAAAUCUUGGAAUGAUAGAAAAAUUCAAUAUAAUGGUGAAAUCCUUCCCUGUAGGAUACAUUUCCAGUAAGUGCACUCCAAGCCGAGCAGGUCCGUCCUCAUCACAGUUCCCCUGUAGAGUCCUCUGGGGUAAAGUCUGCCAGUAUGUCCAAACAGGGGAACACUAUUCCUGUAACAUCCCAAGGCGCUCAAAUAGUUCAGGUCUUCAAGUACUCACAGUCACAUCCUUAGUGGAUCGUAAAAAAAUGGUAUGGAUAAAUUCCUUUCUGGAUGAUUAUAUUACACAAACCCCCAAAACCAAACAAAUGGAAAAAUAAAAGCAAAUUCACAUUAAUGAGCACCAUGAAGAAGGUGACAAAAUAAUGAGGCGAAGGGACACAUUUCAAGGUUACGUAACAUGCUUCAGCAGAUGGGUUCAUCCACAUUUCUCCCUCCCCUGACAUCAAUAAUAACGACCGGCAAAGGUUCCUUCCUCCAGCUAAAAGAAGCCAGAAAAGCCCAGAUCCAGAGGGUAGGCCCAAACCACUAGAGUCUCCACAACUGAUGUUUGUCCUGCUGGAAACACGACAUGGAUGUUUCUUAACUACACUUGUAUACGAAUGGCCUAAAGUAAAGCAUUGGCAUGGUUUGUCUUUUGAAGUCCAUACAGAGCAGAAACCUUAGGCCCAGGUUUGAUUGGAGGGAGAAAUGUGCAUCAUCACACUCCUUCUGGAUGAAUUACUGGCACUAACCUGAAGCACUGUGUGUGUGUGUGUGUGUGUGUGUGUGUGUGUGUGUGUGUGUGUGUGUGUGUGUGUGUGUGUGUGUGCGUGUGUGCGUGUGUGUGUGUGUGUGUCAGAGAUCUAAGUGUUGCUUGUAUAGAGUGUAGAUUCUGUAUUCCUGUGCUUCGUUGCGACAGGACAGGAGUUGGAAUAUUCAGCAGUAGCAGUAGAAUAGCAGUCGAUGUGUCUCCUUAUCUCUCUUUGUUUGAUGGAGAGAAUUAUUCACAGAUGAGCAGAAAGAAAGGAAAGUCUGGAACUGGAAAGAUGAUAAUAACCUGGGGAGAAGAGGAAAAAGAGAGAGAUAAAGCAGGAGACAGUGCAGAUGAGAAGAUACAUAAACAGAGAACACAGCCUUAGAGUACAGUAAGUCAGGGGGUGAGGUACAUAACAUCUAGAUGGUACAGAUACUCUUGCCUCACAGCUCGUUAAUCUAACAGCCUCUGAGUCUCAGCUGGAUCACAUUCACCAAGAUUAUAAUCACAAAGCUGUGGUUAUAUAGGUCCCUCCAAAGAAAGCUAUGGAAUAUUGAAAAAUUGUGUGUCAGGGUUGGGGUCCACUUCAAUAAAGGCAAUGCAGGAAAUCAAUUCAAUCUAAUUCAUGAAGCAGAAAUUGCCCGUCCUUUAUAAUGACGAUGUUUUCUAAAUCAUACAACUAAUUUAUC